ensembl:lncRNA
GGACGGCUAUAAGUGUCUGCACCCAUCUCUGUCAGCUGCUGGUAGACCUUCUCAAAGGAGAGCUGUGCUAAGUUCCUGUCUACAAGCACAAGAGUAAUAGUUUGAUGCCUUCUCAUGGAUGAAUCCAAAGUUGGACCAGCCACUGUUCAGCGAUGUGGUUCAUUUAUACAAUCAAAUACUAUUGAGCUAUUACAGAAAAGGACAUUGUGAACAUUGCAGGCAAAUGGGUGGAACUAGAAAAUAUCAUCCUGAUUGAGGUAGCGCCUCUUCGGGACCUGCUGGACAGGUCAAGUGGCACCUGAACAGGGAACCAAAGCACGGCCAACUAACGGACCACAGAGACAGGAGAUCUGUGGAGAGGUUGAGGACUCUUCAGGCCACAUCGCUCGUGCAUCGCUGGAAAGGGAGGUAGCGCCUCUUCGGGACCCUGAAUAACUGGACCUGC